rnacentral:rRNA from 1 species
UACGUAGGGUCCAAGCGUUAAUCGGAAUUACUGGGCGUAAAGCGUGCGUAGGCGGUUUCGCAAGUCCGAUGUGAAAUCCCCGGGCUUAACCUGGGAACUGCGUUGGAAACUACGAAGCUAGAGUGCGGCAGAGGGGGGUGGAAUUCCAGGUGUAGCAGUGAAAUGCGUAGAGAUCUGGAGGAACACCGAUGGCGAAGGCAGCUCGCUGGGACGGUACUGACGCUGAGGCGCGAAAGCGUGGGGAGCAAACAGG